AAAAAUCAAAUUGGAGUACGUUGUGCACUUGAUUAUAUGAGUUUGUUAGAAAAACCACUUUCCUUUGCUCCUAGCGCCUUCUCGUUCGCUGUAUAGCGUUUUGAGCGGAUAAAGAGCACAAGUGUGUAAGGAGACACAGGAUGAAUGGGAACUAGUUUUGUAAUUGUACUUUUGAUGAAAAGUCACUUUCUAGACAUAAAAUGUCACUUUUUUCACCUUAUCAUACUUUUUCAUCAACUUUUGCAUUUUAAUGUAAACAAUCAUAUUUCGUAAUAUUUUGGGUCAGAAACAUUUCAUAGUACUAUAUUAUGUCUAACUAUGUGAAAAAAAUCAAAUUGGAGUACGUUGUGCACUUGAUUAUAUGAGUUUGUUAGAAAAACCACUUUCCUUUGCUCCUAGCGCCUUCUCGUUCGCUGUAUAGCGUUUUGAGCGGAUAAAGAGCACAAGUGUGUAAGGGGACACAGAAUGAAUGGGAACUAGUUUUGUUAUUGUACUUUUGAUGAAAAGUCACUUUCUAGACAUAAAAUGUCACUUUUUUCACCUUAUCAUACUUUUUCAUCAACUUUUGCAUUUUAAUGUAAACAAUCAUAUUUCGUAAUAUUUUGGGUCAGAAACAUUUCAUAGUACUAUAUUAUGUCUAACUAUGUGAAAAAAAUCAAAUUGGAGUACGUUGUGCACUUGAUUAUAUGAGUUUGUUAGAAAAACCACUUUCCUUUGCUCCUAGCGCCUUCUCGUUCGCUGUAUAGCGUUUUGAGCGGAUAAAGAGCACAAGUGUGUAAGGAGACACAGGAUGAAUGGGAACUAGUUUUGUAAUUGUACUUUUGAUGAAAAGUCACUUUCUAGACAUAAAAUGUCACUUUUUUCACCUUAUCAUACUUUUUCAUCAACUUUUGCAUUUUAAUGUAAACAAUCAUAUUUCGUAAUAUUUUGGGUCAGAAACAUUUCAUAGUACUAUAUUAUGUCUAACUAUGUGAAAAAUAUCAAAUUGGAGUAGGUCAGUGCAACUGAUUAUAUGAGUUUGUUAGAAAAACCACUUUCCUUUGCUCCUAGCGCCUUCUCGUUCGCUGUAUAGCGUUUUGAGCGGAUAAAGAGCACAAGUGUGCAUGGAGACACAGGAUGAAUGGGAACUAGUUUUGUUAUUGUACUUUUGAUGAAAAGUGACUUUCUAGACAUAAAUUGUCACUUUUUUCACCUUAUCAUACUUUAUCAUCAACUUUUACAUUUUAAUGUAAACAAUCAUAUUUCGUAUUAUUUUAGGUCAGAAACAUUUCAUAGUACUAUAUUAUGUCUAAAUAUGUGAAAAAUAUCAUAUUGCAGUAGGUCGGUCAAUUGAUUAUAUGAGUUUGUUUGAAAAACCACUUUCCU
ensembl:lncRNA